rnacentral:ncRNA from 1 species
UGCCUAUGAAGCGGCUGCUAUGUUGGUAUGUUGCCGUGGAGGUGCUAUUAGGGUUGUGUGGAAUCCAAGUUCCAACUUAGGUUUAAUCAAAAAGCUGAAAACAAAAACACUCAAA